GACGGGUGGGGCUAGCGUUGUUCGGAAUUACUGGGCGUAAAGGGCGCGUAGGCGGCCAAUUAAGUUAGACGUGAAAGCCUUGGGCUUAACCUAAGAAUUGCGUUUAAUACUGGUUGGCUAGAGUUUGGUAGAGGAAAGCGGAAUUCCUAGUGUAGAGGUGAAAUUCGUAGAUAUUAGGAAGAACACCAGAGGCGAAGGCGGCUUUCUGGGCCAAUACUGACGCUGAGGCGCGAAAGCGUGGGGAGCAAACAGG
rnacentral:rRNA from 1 species